UGUUUUGCAAUGUCCUUCCAUGCAGCGGACCAUCACCUUCAUGCCGCUGAACCAACUGUUGGAGAAACGGAGAUGGACCGCAGGAAUGCCGUGAUAGCCGGCCUUUAGCAAACAGAAGAGCCGAUUGAUGGCAUCACUACGCUAGCGGGUGCCAAGUGUGCCAUUGGGCUCCUCGUGUCUGAGCUGGUGUGUGCGAAGAGAGAACUGAAGCAGGCGAAGGAGAAUGCGGCGGUAACACUAUUAUUUAUGUUAACGUUAUCGUCUUCCAUCUGUUUCCAUUAUUUUAAUGUAAA